UACGUAGGGCGCGAGCGUUGUCCGGAAUUAUUGGGCGUAAAGAGCUCGUAGGCGGCCUGUUGCGUCCGCUGUGAAAUCCCGGGGCUCAACCCUGGGCGUGCAGUGGAUACGGGCAGGCUGGAGGCAGGCAGGGGAGAACGGAAUUCCGGUGUAGCGGUGGAAUGCGCAGAUAUCAGGAGGAACACCGGUGGCGAAGGCGGGUCUCUGGGCCGUUACUGACGCUGAGGAGCGAAAGCGUGGGGAGCGAACAGG
rnacentral:rRNA from 1 species